AAGGCUGGUUUUGAGUUUAAGGCACAGGAUUAGGGUCCCGAGCCAGCAAGGAUUACACACAUAAACAAAAGCUGCAGGAUCUGGCCCAGGAGAUCUGCAUUCUGGGAUAAAGACUUCUUGGGCCCUGCUGCUACUCACAGACUUCUUCACCCAUUUGCAAAUCAAGAACCUACAUGCCACUUUGAAGAUGCUAUCAUAUGUCAAAAUGUUAAGUCUAGUGCAAGGGUCGAG